GCCUUCGUGGUGUAGUGGUCAGCCCGCUCGGCACGUAUGGAGAGUCCGUGGUUCGAAUCCCGGCGAGGGCA
rnacentral:tRNA from 1 species